rnacentral:rRNA from 1 species
ACUCUAGUAUGAUUGACAGAUUGAGAGCUCUUUCUCGAUUCAGUGGAUGGUGGUGCAUGGCCGUUCUUAGUUGGUGGAGUGAUCUGUCUGGUUAAUUCCGAUAACGAACGAGACUCUCCCCUGCUAACUAGUCGGUUGGAUCUUGAUCGGUGAGUUGCGUCCCGGUGAUGCUCAGCUGCUCUGGUGUCUUGGGAGCCUGUGCGGUGGUGUGCUUGUUCGGGGGAAGUGUCAGGUGCCGUUUCGGCGCGUGCCUGUGCAUUCUCUUCUCGGGCGGUGUGCUGCUUGUGUGGGUCACCCGGCCUGGUAGCAAGAGGUCUCGGAUCGCGCACUCCAAGUCCGCCGCUGAUGCUAUAACUCUUCUUAGAGGGAUCCACGGUUCUGAAGCCGUCAGAGACUGAGAGCAAUAACAGGUCUGUGAUGCCCUUAGAUGCUCUGGGCCGCACGCGCGCUACAAUGCCGGGCUCAGCAGGUACUUGUCCUGCUCCGAGAGGAGCGGGCAACCCUCUGAAAGCCCUUGUUACUCUCGAGCUUUGUCUCGAACGGCGUGCUUGGGCCUGGGGCUUGCAAUUGUUUCCCACAAACGAGGAAUGCCUAGUAGCGGCGGGUCACUGAGCCCGCCGUGACUCAGUCCCUGCCCUUUGUACACACCGCCCGUCGCUACUACCGAUUGGGUGUACCAGUGAGAGCCUUGGACUGGCGGCCGUUGCCUUCGGGCAAGCGGUUUCGACGGAAAGAGGUACGAACUGGUGCAC